rnacentral:rRNA from 1 species
CCUACGGGUGGCAGCAGUGGGGAAUAUUGGGCAAUGGGCGCAAGCCUGACCCAGCAACGCCGCGUGAAGGAAGAAGGCUUUCGGGUUGUAAACUUCUUUUGUCAGGGAAGAGUAGAAGACGGUACCUGACGAAUAAGCCACGGCUAACUACGUGCCAGCAGCCGCGGUAAUACGGAGGGGGCAAGCGUUUUCCGGAUUUACUGGGGUUAAAGGGCGUGUAGACGGGUUGACAAGUCAGAUGUGAAAUCCUGCGGCUGAACCGCAGAACUGCAUUUGAAACUGUUGAUCUUGAGUACUGGAGAGGCAGACGGAAUUCCUAGUGUAGCGGUGAAAUGCGUAGAUAUUAGGAGGAACACCAGUGGCGAAGGCGGUCUGCUGGACAGCAACUGACGGUGAGGCGCGAAAGCGUGGGGAGCAAACAGGAUUAGAUACCCCGGUAGUC